GACAGAGGGUGCAAACGUUGUUCGGAAUUACUGGGCGUAAAGAGCUCGUAGGCGGUCCGGUAAGUCGGUUGUGAAAACUGGGGGCUCAACCCUCAGAGGCCGACCGAUACUGUCGGGCUAGAGUCCGGAAGAGGCGAGUGGAAUUCCUGGUGUAGCGGUGAAAUGCGCAGAUAUCAGGAGGAACACCAAUUGCGAAGGCAGCUCGCUGGGACGUGACUGACGCUGAGACGCGAAAGCGUGGGGAGCAAACAGG
rnacentral:rRNA from 1 species